UACGGGGGGAGCAAGCGUUGUUCGGAUUUACUGGGCGUAAAGGGCGCGUAGGCGGCCACCGCAAGUCGGUUGUGAAAUCUCUGGGCUUAACCCAGAAAGGUCAACCGAUACUGCGGGGCUAGAGUGCAGAAGGGGCAACUGGAAUUCUCGGUGUAGCGGUGAAAUGCGUAGAUAUCAGGAGGAACACCGGUGGCGAAGGCGGUUCUCUGGGCAUGUCCUGACGCUGAGGAGCGAAAGUGUGGGGAGCGAACGGG
rnacentral:rRNA from 1 species